rnacentral:misc_RNA from 1 species
CCUCCAAAAAUCUCUUUUACAGAGUCUAUAUUGGUACAUAUUCUCAUAGUCCUCGCAUCAUGAACAGAAGGGGGAAUUCCUGACGGUUCAUAAGAUCCAGAACAUAAUCUUGCCUCUGGAGGCCUGUCCUGGAUAGGAAACAAUUUACUAUCAGAAUGAUUUGGCAUCUUCUGGAAAUGUUCACCAACAAAGUCUCUUGGGUGAUUAUCACUUGUUGAGGGAUUAUGUAUUAAUAGAGCUGCAUUGCUAUUCAUUUUCUUCUGAUCAAUAAAAAAGGUACUAUUUGGUUGAUCAAUGUAUUCUUGCCUAUGGAAAAAGGACUCAGUUGGAGUCCUUCCACUGUUAAAU